ensembl:lncRNA LINC01597 long intergenic non-protein coding RNA 1597
CUCUCAUUUCUUUCGGAAAGCGGAAACCAGACGACCCAGCGGCCAUGGGACGAGCCGCCCCAACUCAACCCCAGCAGGACGCUGGAGGGGCCUCCCUCCCCCGCCUCUCUUCGCCGGCGCUGGCCUCCCGCACCCGGGUCUGCAGUCCCUCCGCCAUCUCGCAGGAGGAGUUGAGGCACCUUGAAUAUUCCUUCGCGAGUUUGGAGACUAGCCGAUUUUUCAUGAAGCAAGCAAAGACCGCGGUCCCGGAUCCUGCAACUUCUACCUCAUUUUCUCCAGGCCUCUCCACUUGCCCGAGCUCUCAGCCACCAGGAGACAGACGGAAGGGGCUUCUGGAUUGCGUUGGGAGCGGGCACUGUCCCCUACCCACUCCUGCUCAGUUUCCCAAAGUCCAGCGACUUCCGACCCUCCUUGGGGGGAAAAAUACCAGUACCCAGACACCUUUGCACCCUGUUAUAUGACUGGGCUUGCUUCAGGAAUAUCUUACAAAGAAGAAGAAGAAGAAAGAACGGCUUGGAGUCAUGUUUACAUCUAGUUCUACUGAUCCGUUCACAUCUGGAGAGUUUAUUUAUAACUCCCUCUAUAACUCUCUGUUUGGAGACACUGUGGCUCUAUUGACAGACUGAUAUCUAGGAAAUAUUGCUCUAUGUCUAACCGUA